CAGUAGCCGCGGUAAUACGAGGGGGGCAAGCGUUGUUCGGAAUUAUUGGGCGUAAAGCGCACGUAGGCGGCUUCGCAAGUCAGAGGUGAAAGCCUGGGGCUCAACUCCAGAAUUGCCUUUGAGACUGCGUCGCUCGAAUCCGGGAGAGGUGAGUGGAAUUCCGAGUGUAGAGGUGAAAUUCGUAGAUAUUCGGAAGAACACCAGUGGCGAAGGCGGCUCACUGGACCGGCAUUGACGCUGAGGUGCGAAAGCGUGGGGAGCAAACAGGAUUAGAUACCCCAGUAGUCCCUGUCUCUUAUAC
rnacentral:rRNA from 1 species